rnacentral:rRNA from 1 species
UGCCCUAGUAACGGCGAGUGAAGCGGCAACAGCUCAAAUUUGAAAUCUGGCUCUCGGGCCCGAGUUGUAAUUUGUAGAGGAUGACUUUGAUGCGGUGCCUUCCGAGUUCCCUGGAACGGGACGCCAUAGAGGGUGAGAGCCCCGUCUGGUUGGAUGCCAAAUCUCUGUAAGUCUCCUUCGACGAGUCGAGUAGUUUGGGAAUGCUGCUCUAAAUGGGAGGUAUAUGUCUUCUAAAGCUAAAUACCGGCCAGAGACCGAUAGCGCACAAGUAGAGUGAUCGAAAGAUGAAAAGCACUUUGAAAAGAGAGUUAAAAAGUACGUGAAAUUGUUGAAAGGGAAGCGUUUAUGACCAGACUUGGGCUUGGUUAAUCAUCUGGGGUUCUCCCCAGUGCACUUUUCCAGUUCAGGCCAGCAUCAGUUUUCGCCGGGGGAUAAAGACUUCGGGAAUGUGGCUCCUCUCGGGGAGUGUUAUAGCCCGUUGUGUAAUACCCUGGCGGGGACUGAGGUUCGCGCUUCUGCAAGGAUGCUGGCGUAAUGGUCAUCAACGACCCGUCUUGAAACACGGACCAAGGAGUCGUCUUCGUAUGCGAGUGUUCGGGUGUCAAACCCCUACGCGUAAUGAAAGUGAACGCAGGUGAGAGCUUCGGCGCAUCAUCGACCGAUCCUGAUGUUCUCGGAUGGAUUUGAGUAAGAGCAUACGGGGCCGGACCCGAAAGAAGGUGAACUAUGCCUGUGUAGGGUGAAGCCAGAGGAAACUCUGGUGGAGGCUCGCAGCGGUUCUGACGUGCAAAUCGAUCGUCAAACAUGGGCAUG